rnacentral:snoRNA from 1 species
GGGUCAAUGAUGACAUCUUUAUAUUGUCUGAAGUAAGGUGGUGACUUAAAAAUCAUGCUCAGUAGGAUUAUGCUGAGGCUC